rnacentral:rRNA from 1 species
GACGAACGCUGGCGGCGUGCUUAACACAUGCAAGUCGAACGGAAAGGCCCCUUUGGGGGUCCUCGAGUGGCGAACGGGUGAGUAACACGUGAGUAGCCUGCCCUUGACUUCGGGAUAACUUCAGGAAACUGGGGCUAAUACCGGAUAGGAAUCCUUGCUGCAUGGUGGGGGUUGGAAAGCUUCGGCGGUUUUGGAUGGACUCGCGGCUUAUCAGCUUGUUGGUGGGGUAGUGGCUUACCAAGGCUUUGACGGGUAGCCGGCCUGAGAGGGCGACCGGCCACAUUGGGACUGAGAUACGGCCCAGACUCCUACGGGAGGCAGCAGUGGGGAAUAUUGCACAAUGGGCGGAAGCCUGAUGCAGCAACGCCGCGUGCGGGAUGACGGCCUUCGGGUUGUAAACCGCUUUCAGCAGGGGCGAAGCUUGUGGUGACGGUACCUGCAGAAGAAGCACCGGCUAACUACGUG